rnacentral:tRNA from 1 species
UGUUCUAUGGCCGAACUGGUAAAGGCAUCGCCGGCGCCGAUCACAGGCGAGGUUGCGGGUUCGAGUCCCGCUGGAACGG